rnacentral:rRNA from 1 species
GUUGUUGCAGUUAAAAAGCUCGUAGUUGAAUUUCGGGAUCAAUGUUUCGGUCAUGCCGUUGGUAUGUACUGAUAUUAUUGGUUUCUCACCUUCUAAAGAACCGUAAUGCCAUUAAUUUGGUGUCACGGGGAAUUAGGACUGUUACCUUGAAAAAAUUAGAGUGUUUAAAGCAGGCUCACGCUUGAAUACAUUAGCAUGGAAUAAUGAAAUAGGACAUCCGAUUCUAUUUUGUUGGUUUCUAGGAUCGAUGUAAUGAUUAAUAGGGAUAGUUGGGGGCAUUAGUAUUCAAUUGUCAGAGGUGAGAUUCUUGGAUUUAUUGAAGACUAACUACUGCGAAAGCAUUUGCCAAGGAUGUUUUCAUUAAUCAAGAACGAAAGUUAGGGGAUCGAAGACGAUCAGAUACCGUCGUAGUCUUAACCAUAAACUAUGCCGACUAGGGAUCGGAUGAUGUUAAUUUUUUAAUGACUCAUUCGGCGCCUUACGGGAAAC